rnacentral:rRNA from 1 species
GUGGGGAAUAUUGGACAAUGGGCGAAAGCCUGAUCCAGCCAUGCCGCGUGUGUGAAGAAGGUCUUCGGAUUGUAAAGCACUUUAAGUUGGGAGGAAGGGCAUUAACCUAAUACGUUAGUGUUUUGACGUUACCGACAGAAUAAGCACCGGCUAACUUCGUGCCAGCAGCCGCGGUAAUACGAAGGGUGCAAGCGUUAAUCGGAAUUACUGGGCGUAAAGCGCGCGUAGGUGGUUCGUUAAGUUGGAUGUGAAAGCCCCGGGCUCAACCUGGGAACUGCAUCCAAAACUGGCGAGCUAGAGUACGGUAGAGGGUGGUGGAAUUUCCUGUGUAGCGGUGAAAUGCGUAGAUAUAGGAAGGAACACCAGUGGCGAAGGCGACCACCUGGACUGAUACUGACACUGAGGUGCGAAAGCGUGGGGAGCAAACAGGAUUAGAAACCCCGGUAGUCC